ACGCAUGCCCAUAAACUACUCAUAUCCUAAACCAAAAGAAUCAACGCACCCUGUCAAUUGAAUUUGAAUGCCCUCUGCUUCGCACCCUCAAUGACCCCCACCUCCGACCAAUGGCCGUCGCGGGCUACCGCACCAGAAAGCACUUCCGGAGGCGGUGGCCACCAAAACACAAACCAUCCAUCCCAUCCAAAUCAUCUUCACCUCCUCAAACCGACUCCAAUCUCAAUUUCAAGAAAACCUGACUCCAUCAUCACGAAUCGAAAUCCAGAACUCAAGAACCCUAGAGGCUUAAAUGAAAAUUACAUAGUGAGGCUCAAGAAUCAGAACCUUCACUGUUAGGGCUUUGAGUCACCUUAGGCUAGGCUUCAGAAUGAUAACAUGAAAGUAAUGAGAGGGCGAGGAAGAACCUACCUCCUAAGUUGAGGAUCGCUCUGGUGAAAAGUUGAAUCGGAGAAGACGAAUUGAACAACGGGAAGUCAAUUGAUCAAUAGCUUCAAUGAAUUUUUGGUGUGACUGCUUGCUGCAGGAUGCUAUGGUCACAAAUGUUGCACCAUUGGACUCGAAUUGGGUGGAUCUUGAUGCUUAGACAUGUUCAUCUUUGAGCUACCUUCACCUGCUGGCUUUCCAUGAUGCUACUAGGUGAUGGUAUGAACUACUGCAGGGACCCUGUUACUGAUAAUGCAGAAAGGGCAUCAUUCUGCCUUGGUUCAGUUCCAAUCAUAUGACAUUGGUGUCAUGGUUUGACCCUCUUCCUUCUGAGCUCAUGUGCUGGACUGUUUUGAUGUUAGCCUAGGAAUUUUUUAGCUUAGAGUGCACUUAGGGUGUUCCAAUGUAAUUGAUCUUUUUUCAUGGUUGUAAGUUGUAUGAAUGUAGAUGGACUCAUUAUGAAAUGGCAAGUAUUUUGAUUUCUAAAA